rnacentral:rRNA from 1 species
CCUACGGGAGGCAGCAGUGAGGAAUAUUGGUCAAUGGGCGAGAGCCUGAACCAGCCAAGUCGCGUGAAGGAAGACGGCCCUAUGGAUUGUAAACCUCUUUUGUAGGGGAGCAAAAAGGCCUCGUGAGGCCACAAGUGAUAUUCCCCGAAGAAAAAGCAUCGGCUAACUCCGUGCAAGCAGCCGCGGUAAUACGGAGGAUGGGAGGGUUAUCCGGAUUUAUUGGGUUAAAGGGAUGCGUAGGCGGACGGGAAUGUCACCGGUAAAAGCGAGGGACUCAACCUCGUUCCGCCGUUGAAACUGGCGGUCUUGAGUGGGCGAGAAGUAUGCGGAAUGCGUGGUGUAGCGGUGAAAUGCAUAGAUAUCACGCAGAACUCCGAUUGCGAAGGCAGCAUGCCGGCGCCCAACUGACGCUGAGGCACGAAAGCGUGGGUAUCGAACAGGAUUAGAUACCCUGGUAGUC